AAUAUGUUCUCUUCGAGCCCAAUGUUUUGGCACAAUAACUGUAUCCCUGUAAGAUUUUCAAAAGAAGCCAGAACAGAAUAAUACAAGCACAGCAGUUAGAUAGAAAACCAUGGAGCGCCGUUACAUGAGAAGUAAGGGGUUACCCUCAGAAAAAGAAAAAGAAAGGACCACUUCCGUUCCAUUGUAUAAAAAUCCAGACAUCACCUUCUUCUUCCCCUGUAGGU